GAACGUGCCCAAUUGUGGGGGAUAAUAGAGAAAUUUACGCUAAUACCGCAUACGAUCUAAGGAUGAAAGCGGGGGAUCGCAAGCUCGCGCAAUUGGAGCGGCUGAUAUCAGAUUAGCUUGUUGGUGAGGUAAAAGCUCACCGGCGACGAUCUGUAGCUGGUUUGAGAGAACGACCAGCCACACUGGGACUGAGACACGGCAGACUCCUACGGGAGGCAGCAGUGGGGAAUUUUGGACAAUGGGCGAAAGCCUGAUCCCAAUGCCGCGUGCAGGAAGAAGGCCUUCGGGUUGUAAACUGCUUUUGUACGGAACGAAGGUCUGCCCUAAUACGGCGGGCUAAUGACGGUACCGUAAGAAUAAGCACCGGCUAACUGUGCCAGCAGCCGCGGUAAUACGUAGGGUGCGAGCGUUAAUCGGAAUUACUGGGCGUAGCGUGCGCAGGCGGUUAUGUAAGACAGUUGUGAAAUCCCCGGGCUCAACCUGGGAAUUAUCUGUGACUGCAUAGCUAGAGUACGGUAGAGGGGGAUGGAAUUCCGCGUGUAGCAGUAAUGCGUAGAUAUGCGGAGGAACACCGAUGGCGAAGGCAAUCCCCUGGACCUGUACUGGCUCAUGCACGAAAGCGUGGGGAGCAAACAGGAUUAGAUACCCUGGUAGUCCACGCCCAACGAUGUCAACUGGUUGUUGGGUGCAUUAGUACUCAGUAACGAAGCUAACGCGUGAA
rnacentral:rRNA from 1 species